rnacentral:rRNA from 1 species
UACAGAGGUCCCAAGCGUUGUUCGGAUUCAUUGGGCGUAAAGGGUGCGUAGGCGGCGCGGUAAGUCGGGUGUGAAAUCUCGGGGCUUAACUCCGAAACUGCAUUCGAUACUGCCGUGCUUGAGGACUGGAGAGGAGACUGGAAUUUACGGUGUAGCGGUGAAAUGCGUAGAUAUCGAUAAGGAAGACCAGUGGCGAAGGCGGGUCUCUGGACAGUUCCUGACGCUGAGGCACGAAGGCCAGGGAGCAAACGGG